rnacentral:misc_RNA from 1 species
AAGUCGUAACAAGGUUUCCGUAGGUGAACCUGCGGAAGGAUCAUUAGUGAAUGCUAGUACUAUGUACUAUGGCAGCAUGUUUUGUCCCAACCUGUGGUUAUGGAUGGCAUUGUGUGAGAUUGACUGACCAAAUGUGGGCUAAUACAAAACGACACAACUUUCAACAACGGAUCUCUUGGCUCUCA